rfam:Gossypium raimondii Chr07_contig_1310, whole genome shotgun sequence.
UGUUAAAAAUUCCUUCCAUUAUAUUGUUAAAAAUUGACUUAAUUGACGAAAUAAUCAGACAGUGACACAUGAUGUACCAUAUAUAGCUCAUGUUGAUGUAUAUGGACAAAUUUGUAAUUGUAGAAAUGGAAGGAAUUUUUAACA